rnacentral:lncRNA from 13 species
AUGCUGCCUCAGAACAGAAUGUUACAAAUGGCUACUAGGUCCAAGUCUCUCUUGGAAAAGGGAUGGGUUCAACCAAAAGGGAUGGGUUCAACCAAAAGGGAUGGGUUAAACCAAAAGGGAUGGGUUAAACCAGAAGGGAAUGAUUAUCAAAAGGGAAGGGUUAACCCAAAGGGGAUAGGUUACCAAAAGGGAUGGGUUAUUUGGGCGGCAGGUAGCCUAGUGGUUCGAGCAUUGGGCCAGUAACUGAAAGGUUGCUAGAUCAAAUCCCCGAGCUGAUAGGACAAGAGGGCCUAGCUGAUAGGAAAAGGUAAAAAUCUCCUGCUCUGCCCCUGAACAAGGCAGUUAACCCACUGUUCCUAGGCCAUCAUUAUAAAUAAGAAUUUGUUCUUAACUGACUUGCCUAGUAAAAUAACAAUUUUAAAGGGACUGGUUAAACCAAAUUGACAGUUUAUUUAAAGUCAAGAGUAAUACAUGAUUCAUAACAAACACCUGUAUGUGAUUGUGCUAAUAUUUACUAUGCUUCAUUUUCAAACCCAUGUAGGCUUCAUUACCUUACUAUAUGAUGGUGUAUGGCAGACAUUUUCUCUGAGGGCAGAGUUUACCUUGUAUGUCCUAGGUCAGCUCCUCACUAAUGCCUGAUUAUGGGUGGCUUAAAAUGACAGUCUGGGGGUAGUUGGCGGUUCUUGAUUAAGUUUGUUGAGGAUUUGGGGUUUAAAAUGACAGUCUGGGGGUAGUUGGGGUCCUUGAUUAAGUUUGUUGAGGAUUUGGGGUUUAAAAUGAGGACUGCUUCAGUACUCUCCAGCAGAGUCCACUGCUAAAUCACAUAAUUCCUUCAAACUCCUCUUUAAGCAUAGACUGCAAUCAAGCAAGAGAGAGCUAGAAAUAACAAAUCACCAUACAGACAUUUUAUUAAAAAAUAUAUAACUUUUACUCCUUGUGGCGGGCUGGGCGCCUGCAGGCUGACCUCGGUCGACAGGUGUUUCCUCCGACACAUUGGUGCGGCUGGCUUCCGGGUUAAGCGGGCGGUUUGGCGGGUCAUGUUUGCGGAGGACGCAUGACUCGACCUUCGCCCCCCUGAGCCCGUUGGGGAGCUGCAGCGAUGAGACAAGAUCGAAAUUGGGGAGGAAAAGGAGGUAAAAUAUUAGCAUAAAUGUAGCAUGAAUAGCAUCAGCUGCCACCCACAGCGCAUUUCAUUCAUAACAUUUCUCCCUCCUGGAUGGCCUGCCAUUUAGAUUGAUCUCAUUGGCUGUGGUGUCUGGAGAACCAAUUAGAAGCUAGGUAUCUUAGACAACACAACUUGAUAUCUGUGUGUGUCAGAGUUGGCAUCAGAAGGUCAGCGUGACCUAUUGACAACCUCGCUGAAACACGAGCCACUAAAUGCGCACCAACACACAUCCUUGCACGCACACUCAUUGACAUACAUGGAUACAGACACUUGCAAGCCUUCUGUGUUACAUACAGUCGUGCUCUGUUGUGUACACAGAUAUUGAACAUGCUGACAGACAGGUGAACAUUCUUUCUACCCUUACUAUCAGGUGUAACUAUAGGCCAGAAAAGAUUGAUAUUUAGGUAUUUUUCUGUCAUUUAAUGGGGCAAAUAAAUCCAAAGUUCAAUGUGUGCCAUUGCAUUGCCUAUGCAUGUGCAUUCAUUUUCCACUUUCAAAGACCCCUCCUCCUCCUCUGUCUUCUAAAGAAACUUACAUGGAUUUGAGUAAUAGUGAUCCAUUCAGCCUUAGUUACAGCUGGCAGUGGCCAAGGCAAUGGGACAACAUCACUGUGUGAAAUCUGAGCUGAGAUCAGCCGUGAUAGUCACAUUUGCAUCUUAGAGCCAAGCUGAUUUACAAGGUAAAAUGCCUCCAGAGGCACCUUGGGGAUUUGGCUGCUUCAUGAGAAACUCACACAACAACAAAAAUGUGUAGGAUUCAAAGCUGCCACCAAAUGACAAGAGCCAAGAGCCCUGGGAGUCU